CAGAUGCCAAGGGGAUAGGAGGGAAGAACACUUGUGAAAGAUGAAGGGGAAAAGAAGCAUGCUUCUGUGGAAAACAUUUUCAAGUUCAUUAGAUCAAACUUGUUGAGAAUGGCUGACAUCUGAGAAUCAAACCAACACUCCUCAGCAUUGAGUCAAAAAGUCACAGAAGGCAAGAGAUCCUUAUCCUUCAAGGCAAGAGAGAUGGAGCUAUUGGAAUAUUCUUUUUCCUUGAUCAAAAUAACCUUCAUCGGGGAAAUAUUCUCUUACAAAAAUACCACAGCUCUCUGGUAAGC
rnacentral:lncRNA from 1 species